rnacentral:rRNA from 1 species
GCGUGUAGCAAUACACGAGUGGCGGACGGGUGAGUAACGCGUGGGAACCUGCCCAAUGGUAGGGAAUAACUGCGGGAAACUGCAGCUAAUACCCUAUGCUCCCUACGGGGGAAAGAUUUAUCGCCAUUGGAGGGGCCCGCGUCGGAUUAGCUAGUUGGCGGGGUAACGGCCCACCAAGGCUACGAUCCGUAGCUGGUCUGAGAGGAUGAUCAGCCACACUGGGACUGAGAUACGGCCCAGACUCCUACGGGAGGCAGCAGUGGGGAAUAUUGGACAAUGGGGGAAACCCUGACGAAGCAAUGCCGCGUGGAUGAUGAAGUAUCUCGGUACGUAAAAUCCUUUCGACGGGGACGAAACCGCAAGGUUGACGGUACCCGUAGAAGAAGCCCCGGCUAACUCCGUGCCAGCAGCCGCGGUAAUACGGGGGGGGCAAGCGUUGUUCGGAAUUACUGGGCGUAAAGGGUGCGUAGGCGGCUUUCUAAGUCGGAUGUGAAAACUCUGGGCUCAACCCAGAGCCUGCAUCUGAAACUGGAGAGCUAGGGUUCUGGAGGGGAAAGCGGAAUUCCUGGUGUAGCGGUGAAAUGCGUAGAUAUCAGGAGGAACACCGGUGGCGAAGGCGGCUUUCUGGACAGAUACCGACGCUGAGGCACGAAAGCUAGGGGAGCAAACAGGAUUAGAUACCCUGGUAGUCCUAGCCCUAAACGAUGGAUACUUGCUGUGGGGGGGAUUGAAGCCCCUUG